rnacentral:tRNA from 1 species
GUUUGUAUAGCUUAAUAUAUUAAAGCAUGGCGUUGAAGGUGCUAAGAUAACAUAUAUAGUUUGUAAACA